CGCGGCCUAUCAGCUUGUUGGUGAGGUAAUGGCUCACCAAGGCUAUGACGGGUAGCUGGUCUGAGAGGACGAUCAGUAACACUGGAACUGAGACACGGUCCAGACACCUACGGGUGGCAGCAGUCGAGAAUCAUUCACAAUGGGGGCAACCCUGAUGGUGCAACGCCGCGUGGAGGAUGAAGGCCCUAGGGUCGUAAACUCCUGUCAUAUGAGAGUAAGGCAUAUGUGUUAAUACCAUGUAUGUUUGAUAGUAUCAUAAGAGGAAGGGACGGCUAACUUCGUGCCAGCAGCCGCGGUAAUACGAAGGUCCCGAGCGUUAUUCGGAAUCACUGGGCGUAAAGAGUACGUAGGCGGUUUGGUAAGUCAGGUGUGAAAUCCCGGAGCUCAACUCCGGAACUGCAUCCGAUACUGCUAGACUUGAGUAAUGGAGGGGCAGGUGGAAUUCUCGGUGUAGCAGUGAAAUGCGUGGAUAUCGAGAGGAAGACCAAUGGCGAAGGCAGCCUGCUGGACAUUUACUGACGCUGAGGUACGA
rnacentral:rRNA from 1 species